GAGGAAUAUUGGUCAAUGGGCGAGAGCCUGAACCAGCCAAGUAGCGUGCAGGAAGACGGCCUUAUGGGUUGUAAACUGCUUUUAUGUGGGGAUAAAGUGAGCUACGUGUAGUUUAUUGCAGGUACCACAUGAAUAAGGACCGGCUAAUUCCGUGCCAGCAGCCGCGGUAAUACGGAAGGUCCAGGCGUUAUCCGGAUUUAUUGGGUUUAAAGGGAGCGUAGGCCGUGGAUUAAGCGUGUUGUGAAAUGUAGACGCUCAACGUCUGAAUUGCAGCGCGAAAUGGUUCACUUGAGUAUGCACAACGUAGGCGGAAUUCGUCGUGUAGCGGUGAAAUGCUUAGAUAUGACGAAGAACUCCGAUUGCGAAGGCAGCUUACGGGAGCACAACUGACGCUGAAGCUCGAAGGUGCGGGUAUCAAACAGGAUUAGAUACCCUGGUAGUCCGCACAGUAAACGAUGGAUGCCCGUUGUUAGUUCACUUAAGAAUUAGCGACCAAGCGAAAGCAUUAAGCAUCCCACCUGGGGAGUACGCCGGCAACGGUG
rnacentral:rRNA from 1 species